rnacentral:rRNA from 1 species
GAUGAACGCUGGCGGCGUGCCUAAUACAUGCAAGUCGAGCGAACAGACGAGGAGCUUGCUCCUCUGACGUUAGCGGCGGACGGGUGAGUAACACGUGGAUAACCUACCUAUAAGACUGGGAUAACUUCGGGAAACCGGAGCUAAUACCGGAUAAUAUAUUGAACCGCAUGGUUCAAUAGUGAAAGACGGUUUUGCUGUCACUUAUAGAUGGAUCCGCGCCGCAUUAGCUAGUUGGUAAGGUAACGGCUUACCAAGGCAACGAUGCGUAGCCGACCUGAGAGGGUGAUCGGCCACACUGGAACUGAGACACGGUCCAGACUCCUACGGGAGGCAGCAGUAGGGAAUCUUCCGCAAUGGGCGAGAGCCUGACGGAGCAACGCCGCGUGAGUGAUGAAGGUCUUCGGAUCGUAAAACUCUGUUAUUAGUGAAGAACAAAUGUGUAAGUAACUAUGCACGUCUUGACGGUACCUAAUCAGAAAGCCACGGCUAACUACGUG